AAGACAAGCCAUGAAUAUUUGGUUGCUUUUGGGCAUUGAAAACAUAAAUGAAACUGAAGAUUCAACUGAACCUUUGAUAGAUCCUGUGUAUGAACAAGGCAGUUUCACCUCCCAUUGAUGGGACAUGUUGUUUCUACUGUAUGGGAUGGUGAUAGAGAAUGCUCAGGAAUGAAGAGAAAUGAUUUUUUGACCAGGCCCCGUGGACUGAUUUCCCCAGCUCUGAAAGCUCACGCCUCAAGCGAGAGAAGCCAGCCUCUGAGGGCUCUGCCCUAUGCGGCCCCCACAUUACAACCUGGAACUCGGAGAUAGCGGGGCAUCAAGCAAAAGGGCAUACUGGCCAUUCCAGGGCGAGCACGAAGCCCACUUUUCAGACAUCGGAGUGGCUGCACUACUGGAUCAGCUCCUUUGGGUCAAGCUGCCCAUGAUCCCGGGGAGCAGUAAUUUAUACUAUAUGAUGAAGUUAAGUGAAAAGGUAAAGUAGCCCAUGUUUGAUCUUGAGAAACAUCUCAUUGCCAUGACCUGCA